UUAUAACUGUAUUUUAGGUUUUAGUCUGUUUCGGUUUUAGCUUUACAUAUCAAAAUAUUUUAUUAUUGAUACACUGAGCUAUAGUUGGAAGCUAGACUGCAAUAUGCCAUAGACUCUUUUUGCAAGUUCAAAAUAUCUCUCCUCGUCCAAGUCAUAAGUGGUUCUCUGCUGUAUUUACAUUAAUUUAUUUUCAUAAGUCUAUCUGAUUGUGCACAGAUUUGGGCAGGAUGUUGAGGCAGUGGAUAAGAUGUCGCUGUGGUUAUAAGCUUCACACGAUGAGUUGGGGUUGGGUUCUCGUAAAUCAGGCAUCCCUAUUUGCAGCAGGAUGUUGAACCAAGGUGUUGCUAUGGUUAUAAGCUUCACGUGAUGAGUUCUGGUGUAAUAAUUACAAAUAUGGAUUGGAUGGAAAAAUAUGAUACUCUUCUGGUUUAAACUGUGAGGGAAAAAAUUCACAGUUCAACCCAGAAACAGUGCAUACUAACAACACGGACUGGAAAUUACAUGUCUGCAAUGAUACUCUCCUGCCAGAUGCUUUAACAGAAGAGUACUGAGAAAAUUGACAUUUGAAUGAGUUUCUGGAUUAACUCACUUCUAACUUGUAAUAUUGUGGCUGCCCACUUUUAUGUUAUCUAUUAAUUAUGUUAGGCGUGAAAGAUGAUAUUUGUGAUUUUUCAUUAUGAAGUCAACAAGAUCAGACUGUAAGCAUAAUUGUGUGAAUUUAUUUGUAACGUGUUUGCAUCCCCUUCUCCAUCCUGUGUUUCCUCAUUUCUGAUGCUUAAAUAUGGAGUAUUAGUCUUCAAGUUCUCUAAUUGCUCCCGGGUUCUUAGCUGAAUAGAUUAUAAGUUUUUUGAUAAUAAAAAUAUCACUAGAACUUCUAUACUUUAA